rnacentral:rRNA from 1 species
UACGUAGGGUGCGAGCGCUAAUCGGAAUUACUGGGCGUAAAGCGUGCGUAGGUGGUUCGUUGUGUCUGUGGUGAAAGCCCCGGGCUUAACCUGGGAAUGGCCAUGGAAACUGGCGAGCUGGAGUGUGGCAGAGGGGGGUGGAAUUCCGCGUGUAGCAGUGAAAUGCGUAGAGAUGCGGAGGAACACCGAUGGCGAAGGCAGCCCCCUGGGCUAACACUGACGCUGAGGCACGAAAGCGUGGGGAGCAAACAGG